UACAGAGGUCUCAAGCGUUUGUUUCGGAUUCAUUGGGCGUAAAGGGGUGGCGUAGGCGGCGCGGUUAAGUCGGGUGUGAAAUCUUGGAGCUUAACUCCGAAACUGCAUUCGAUACUGCCGUGCUUGAGGACUGGAGAGGAGACUGGAAUUUACGGUGUAGCGGUGAAAUGCGUAGAUAUCGUGAAGGAAGACCGUGGCGAAAGGCGGGAUCUC
rnacentral:rRNA from 1 species